UACAGAGGGUGCUAGCGUUGUUCGGAAUCAUUGGGCGUAAAGGGCGUGUAGGCGGUUUGUUAAGUCAUGUGUGAAAGCCCCCGGCUCAACCGGGGAACGACGCAUGAAACUGGCAAGCUAGAGUACCGAAGAGGGGGGUGGAAUUCCCGGUGUAGCGGUGAAAUGCGUAGAUAUCGGGAGGAACAUCUGUGGCGAAGGCGACUGCCUGGACCAGCACUGACACUGAGGCACGAAAGCGUGGGGAGCAAACAGG
rnacentral:rRNA from 1 species